AUUAGUGGCGAACGGGUGAGUAACACGUGGGCAAUCUGCCCUGCACUCUGGGACAAGCCCUGGAAACGGGGUCUAAUACCGGAUACGAGCCUCCNGGGCAUCUGGGAGGUUGGAAAGCUCCGGCGGUGCAGGAUGAGCCCGCGGCCUAUCAGCUUGUUGGUGAGGUAACGGCUCACCAAGGCGACGACGGGUAGCCGGNCUGAGAGGGCGACCGGCCACACUGGGACUGAGACACGGNCCAGACUCCUACGGGAGGCAGCAGUGGGGAAUAUUGCACAAUGGGCGCAAGCCUGAUGCAGCGACGCCGCGUGAGGGAUGACGGCCUUCGGGUUGUAAACCUCUUUCAGCAGGGAAGAAGCGAGAGUGACGGUACCUGCAGAAGAAGCGCCGGCUAACUACGUGCCAGCAGCCGCGGUAAUACGUAGGGCGCAAGCGUUGUCCGGAAUUAUUGGGCGUAAAGAGCUCGUAGGCGGCUUGUCGCGUCGAUUGUGAAAGCCCGGGGCUUAACUCCGGGUCUGCAGUCGAUACGGGCAGGCUAGAGUGUGGUAGGGGAGAUCGGAAUUCCUGGUGUAGCGGUGAAAUGCGCAGAUAUCAGGAGGAACACCGGUGGCGAAGGCGGAUCUCUGGGCCAUUACUGACGCUGAGGAGCGAAAGCGUGGGGAGCGAACAGGAUUAGAUACCCUGGUAGUCCACGCCGUAAACGGUGGGCACUAGGUGUUGGCGACAUUCCACGUCGUCGGUGCCGCAGCUAACGCAUUAAGUGCCCCGCCUGGGGAGUACGGCCGCAAGGCUAAAACUCAAAGGAAUUGACGGGGGCCCGCACAAGCGGCGGAGCAUGUGGCUUAAUUCGACGCAACGCGAAGAACCUUACCAAGGCUUGACAUACACCGGAAACAUCCAGAGAUGGGUGCCCCCUUGUGGUCGGUGUACAGGUGGUGCAUGGCUGUCGUCAGCU
rnacentral:rRNA from 1 species